GCAGGCGGCGCGACCGGAUCCAGGCGAGGCGCCGGUGUGGAUCCAGGCUAUGCGUGCCACGCGCGAGGAUAUCCAGUACGAGUCAGUCGAAAGGAUCCGCUUCGAUGGUAUCCAACGCGGGAUGCGGGGCGCGAGUCGAUCGAGAGGACGCCUCGCCUCCCCUGCAACGUUGCUCAUCCCCUCCGCGCCGCCUUGUUCUUCCAUGACGGCAACUCUUGCAUCAGGAUGGGGUGGUCGCCAACGACGAUGCGCAUACAAAUGGAGGGCUGCAGGAUGACUUCUCAACUUCGCAUGCGCGGCAGCGUCUGCUCCGAUUAGAUCCAGAUGCGGAGGCCACUUGGAUUGUUGAUGAAGAACCUGAUGAAGCACUUGAGGUUAAGAAGGCAGUAGCCAACGAGAGUAGCUUCUCCAUCAGCGCGGGCGGCGACAAUGAAUGGCGUAGGAACACAUGCAAACAUCCACGCGACUAAAACAACAACCAGAUAUUCCGUCCUGUAUUUAAUCCUGGUAGAGGCGAAUUGAAGGCUAGCUACCCCAGAAACGAACUGUCCUGUAUCUCUAAUUACUAGGGUACAAACGGGAUGACCAGUAGCCUGAAUUUCAUUUGGCGGCGACCAAUUUCUAUGGAUUCCUCUUUUUUGAAGCUACAACACCUACAAGAUCAAGAUUGGUUGAAAACGGUGACUAGAAUGCAUCCCUCUUUUUCUCUUUGCGAAUAAGGAUGCAUCCCUCUGUUGGUACUAUUUCGUGUUUGAUGACAACCUAGAUCAUUUGGACUCUGGGGCAUAUUCAGAAUGUGAAAACAUGAUAAUUCUGCUUAAGAUUGAGGUUGAUGGAAAGAAAUUUAUAGUCAGGUGUAUAUCUAUCUAUUCAUUUAUUCCAUCAUAGUGGCAUGAAGAAGAAAUAUCAUCAUUUAGGAAGUUAGAAAACCAUCACUUGUGAAGGAUUUUUUGUUUCAAAGUUUCAUUCAUAUUCUUGACUCUUGUGACCAUUUGAUUAGGAAAAGAGACGCUACUCCCUCCGUCACGGUUUAGAAGGCGCGCUUGGAAAUUCUCUGGGAUCUAGGUGGUUAUCUAUUGGUUGUGAGAUGGGCUAAAAAAUAGCAUUCACACUAUGCAUGCAUAUAGAAAUAGUAUAUCGGAGUACUAAUUAGCUACUAGAAAUAAAUGCAAUGCGCCUUAAACCUUGUCUAUUGUGGAAACGCACACAAAUUUAACUGUGCCUUCUAAAUUGUGACGGAGGGAGUAGCUGUUUCUAUCAUGUUCUAAGCAAACUUACAAAGACUAAAUGUGUAAUGAGCUCGGCUGUUGUAUUUUUGUUUUCUAUGACAUCUGCUCUAACUUCUAAGUAACUAAUAAAUGUGUUCAUUGUGUGUGAUCUGGUUUUGGCUUGGAUGGUAAUUUUAAGUGUCCAAGUGGUAACCGUCAUAAAAAUGGUAGCAGUGGUUAUUUAUUAAUAUAAUCCUAACUACAAUUAUUUAUUCCACGUACAAUUGCUAAAAUGAUGGAAGAAUGCUCCUCAAGUGGAGCGCACACUGCCUCCGCCAUGGGCGAGAGCACCGGAUUCCCAUGAAGCUGCCGUUGCAGCGAGCAACAUGGUCCCAUCGGCACGGGCCAAGUGACACAACGGCGGCGGUGAACCCAAUGCAGAUCCGCCAGUUUCAGGAGUCAAACUUAGGCGGGUGGGUGCAAUGACAGGUAACGACCUUCCUCUACUUCUCCUUGGCCUCUUCCUUAGCCAAGGCCACCAGGCCGGACGCUCCCUCUUCCACCUUUGCACCAUCUCAUUCAUCGCCACUGCUGCCUUUUCGUCCAACACAUCUCACUUGUUAAUUUGUAAGGCGGCCCUUCAAGUUUCUUCACAUCUUUCUCUUUUGUUUUUGCAAUACUGUUUUACAGAACUGUUUACCAGUGCUGUCUAUGCUCCUAUCUUCGUGUCGACUUUGGCUCCCAAUGAGGUCUAUAGAUUGGUUUUAGUGCAUUAUUAUGAUAGGUGCUUCUGUGAUAAACUUGUGGAUAGAAGUCACUAUUUUUAAAGGACCACAUCUUCUUUGCUUAUUUAUGUUACUUUUGAAAUAAACACUUGCCGUUGUGAGAUAAGCUUGCAUUUCUUUUGUCUAUGAAUCCCUCGUGUAAUUGUGGUUUGGGUGAUGUCCAAAGAUUGCACAUGCGCUUGUAUAAAAGAUAGGGAAGGUGUUUGAGGCUGCACUGGAAGAGGCAUAUCCUUAAUUCUCGGGGUUUAGUUCCAACUAAUAAUUAUGACGAUAUUUUUACAGCACUAUGAUCAAGAUUAAUGAUUAUGAGUACUCACGAUGGUUAUGAGCAUUUCCUAUACAAGGUAUACUGCAGGUCUGUUGUACAAGGUAGCAGCAGCAUGAUAAUAAUAUUUUCCCGGCCCAAGUAUAUUAUCAUUGGUUUGUCUAUUCCUCAAAAAAAAUAUUAGUUCGUCUUCAUUCCCAUCAGGGUCUUAUGCACAGGUGAAAUUUUGUAUCCAUUGAGCUGAUGCCUGGAUUGUUACCCAACUAACGGAGGAAUUCCAUGGGAUUUGUCGUACCUGUGUCCUUUCAUUAUCGACUUCAGACCACCCCUUUUCAACUUCAAAUUAAUGAGUUUGUAUUUUUAAAGAAUUUUGUAUCCCUUCCAUUUUAUUGAUACUCAGUGCGUUUGUUGAAUAUCAAUGCAUGUUGUUACCAUAAGUAAGUUUGGCCUUGUUCCUGCUCACGUGUAGUUUACUGAGUUUUUCAUUCUUGCUGAAAAAAAAACAUGCUCGAGGCCUCAAUAGUAAAAGAUUUUGUUUUAUUGUGUUUGUGCUAAAAUCAUAUAAUUAUGCAAAGCCAAGAGCCAGAAUAUGAAGAUUUAUUUGCAUCCUCAUAGAAUGUAACUAUUGCAUUUUCUGAACUUUUCCCUCUAUAGCUGGGUGUAGAACUGCAAAUGUCAGCUGCCAGACAAAGUUAUCUCCAAUGCAUGCUUGCAGUUCCUUGCAAAUUCUUCUUGAAUGUUAUUUGUUCGGCAUGGAGCGUGGG